rnacentral:rRNA from 1 species
AAUCGAACCCGGAGAUAGCUGGUUCUCCCCGAAAUAGCUUUAGGGCUAGCGUCGGAAAGAACCUUAGUGAAGGUAGAGCACUGAAUGUGUGAUGGCCCCAUCCCGGGGUACUGAAUACAAUCAAACUGCGAAUGUCAUUAAGGAUGUCCGGCAGUCAGACUGUGAGUGAUAAGGUCCAUGGUCAAGAGGGAAACAGCCCAGACCGCCAGUUAAGGUCCCAAAAUACAGGCUAAGUGGAAAAGGAUGUGGGGAUGCCCAGACAACUAGGAGGUUGGCUCAGAAGCAGCCAUCCUUUAAAGAGUGCGUAACAGCUCACUAGUCGAGUGACCCUGCGCCGAAAAUGUACCGGGGCUAAGCCUGAUACCGAAACUGCGGAUUGUAGGAAACUAUAGUGGUAGGGGAGCGUUGUAUACGAGCAGAAGCCGUACCGUGAGGAGCGGUGGAUUGUAUAGAAGUGAGAAUGCCGGUGUGAGUAGCGAGAUGUAGGUGAGAAUCCUACACACCGAAAGCCCAAGGAUUCCAGGGGAAGGUUCGUCCGCCCUGGGUAAGUCGGGACCUAACGCGAGGCCGAAAGGCGUAGUGGAUGGAAAGCAGGCGAAAGAUUCCUGCACCCGUAUAUGGAGCGAAGGAGUGACGGAGACGGAUAGUGUGACCCUCUUAAUGGAUUGAGGGCGAAGCGAAGCGGCUGGUUACCAGGCAAAUCCGGUAACCAAAAGGCUAGAGCGUGACAGGUAAGCGAAAUCUUAGGAAAGUAGCGAAGCACAUGAUGACGGCUUCCAGGAAAAGCUUCUGGCAAUGCAUAUGCGGCCCGUACCAAAACCGACACAGGUGGGCAGGGAGAGAAUCCCGAGGUGAGCGAGAGAACUGUUGCCAAGGAACUCGGCAAAAUGACUCCGUAAGUUAGCGAGAAGGAGUGCUUAAGCAAUUAAGCCGCAGUGAAGAGGCCCAAGCGACUGUUUAACUAAAACACAGCUCUCUGCGAAGUCGCAAGACGAAGUAUAGGGGGUGACACCUGCCCGGUGCUGGAAGGUUAAGAGGAUCUGUUAAGAGCGAUCUGAAGCAGUGAUCCGAAGCCCCAGUGAACGGCGGCCGUAACUAUAACGGUCCUAAGGUAGCGAAAUUCCUUGUCAGGUAAGUUCUGACCCGCACGAAAGGUGUAACGAUUUGGGCGCUGUCUCGGCAGCAGACUCGGUGAAAUCUUAGUACCUGUGAAAAUGCAGGUUACCCGCAACUAGACGGAAAGACCCCAUGGAGCUUUACUGCAGCCUGAUAUUGAAUUCUGGUCAUACAUGUACAGGAUAGGUGGGAGACAAAGAGACGUGCACGCCAGUGUACGAGGAGUCGACGUUGGGAUACCACUCUUGUGUGACCGGGGUUCUAACCUGGUAUCGAGAACAGGUACGGGGAGAGUGUCAGGUGGGCAGUUUGACUGGGGCGGUCGCCUCCCAAAGAGUAACGGAGGCGCCCAAAGGUUCCCUCAGCGCGGCCGGAAAUCGCGCGAAGAGUGUAAAGGCAGAAGGGAGCUUGACUGAGAGCCAAACACGGCGAUCAGGUACGAAAGUAGGGCUUAGUGAUCCGGUGGCAUCCAAGUGGAAGGGCCAUCGCUCAACGGAUAAAAGCUACCCUGGGGAUAACAGGCUAAUCUCUCCCAAGAGUCCAUAUCGACGGGGAGGUUUGGCACCUCGAUGUCGGCUCAUCACAUCCUGGGGCUGAAGUCGGUCCCAAGGGUUGGGCUGUUCGCCCAUUAAAGUGGUACGCGAGCUGGGUUCAGAACGUCGUGAGACAGUUCGGUCCUUAUCCUCCGCAGGCGCAGGAUAUUUGAUGGGAUCAUUCCUUAGUACGAGAGGACCGGGAAUGACUGACCUCUGGUGUUCCGGUUGUGGCGUCAGCUGCACUGCCGGGUAGCUAUGUCGGGAACGGAUAAGCGCUGAAAGCAUCUAAGCGCCAAGCCCACCCAAAGACGAGAUAUCCCUCCCCGCAAGGGGCUCAAGGCCGGUCGAAGACUACGACCUCGAUAGGAUGGAGGUGUAAGUACAGCAAUGUAUUCAGCUUACCAUUACUAAUCGGCCGUGAGGCUUAACC